rnacentral:lncRNA from 1 species
UUCUCAACCAGCUGGUGGACGGUCAGAACCAGCUGGCAGAGCCACUGCCCCCUGCCCUGCAGGAGGACGGGGAGCUCCGCUGGGCGGCCCAGCUCCUCUGGGCCUCCCAGCGGAGCCUCCUCCUCUGGGAGAGACCAGAGCUCCCAGUAGGAGUCCUGCUGGAAGUGCUGGCUCUGGUCGUACGCGGACUGGGCCUGAUGCAGAACCUGCUGAGCAGCGGGACAGACCAGAGCUCCCAGUAGGAGUCCUGCUGGAGGUGCUGGUUCUGGUCGUACAUGGACUGGGCCUAAUGCAGCCCAGCACAGCUCCGUAAAACUGUUUGACUUUAAUUUUGUUUUGUUUCAUUACUCGUGUUGAUAAACACUGGUAGCGUUUUGUUUUACUGGUUCCAGUUGAACUUUCUUUCGUUCUCUGGGAAUUUUUCCACUUUUCCAAACAAUAAAUGUGUUGAUGUGCAACGGAAACAUUCACACUAACCUUCCUGUGCAUGCGAUCAGGCGGGAUGAGCUGAUCUGGUUUUAAUGCCGUGUUGAUACCUGCAUGCAGGCGUGAAUCAGACAGAACCAGUGGAUCCAGAUCUGAUGACGCUGCAGCGCCGCUUGCUGCUCGGAGUCGGUUUCCUGCGUCUGGCUUUGAUACAGACCAGGCUCCUGCACAACAACCUGUGUUUGUGGACCUGCACCGGACAUGAAACGGGCCGUGCAGACGUUCCAGGUAGUGGUGCGCGACAAACAACAACAUCGCUGGAUUCUGUGAAAAGCUUAGAGUUCAGCAGAGGUCCAGGACUACUAUACCAACCAGGUCUGAGCUUGUUUGACCAGAUCUCAGUCGGAGCUUUGAACCCAGAUUCUUGA